rnacentral:lncRNA from 10 species
AGACCACCUCCAUCCAUGAUUCUGAAUGCCUUUUGUAAAAUUUACGUGGGUGCAACAUUCAUUCCUCAAAUACCUCAAGCUAUUUACUCCUUCCUCUCCACAUGUUCUUCUCUGAAUGUCUCUUGCUGUUCAAGGAUUUGCCCUCGUUAUUUCAGUCCUCAAUUCUAAACUGUACAGCUCCUGUUCUUCUUGGAUGCUUUCCUUUCCCUAUAUUGUCACAUUCGGUGUGACAGGACAGCCUGUAGAACUGAUUUGUAAAACAGAAUUCUUUCCACACUAGUAUCACUAUAAUUGAGACACAUGUUGCCCCGUACCUGAAAUACAUGGUCUUCUUACACACUGCUGACAGAUUAAUCUUUUUAGAAUACA